UCCAGACUCCUACGGGAGGCAGCAGUGGGGAAUAUUGCACAAUGGGGGAAACCCUGAUGCAGCAACGCCGCGUGAGUGAAGAAGUCAUUCGUGAUGUAAAGCUCUAUCAGCAGGGAAGAAAAUGACGGUACCUGAGUAAGAAGCCCCGGCUAACUACGUGCCAGCAGCCGCGGUAAUACGGAGGAUGCGAGCGUUAUCCGGAUUUAUUGGGUUUAAAGGGUGCGUAGGCGGAUCGUUAAGUCAGUGGUCAAAGUGGGGGGGCUCAACCCGUGCCCGCCAUUGAAACUGGCGCUCUUGAGUGGAAGAGAAGUAUGCGGAAUGCGUGGUGUAGCGGUGAAAUGCAUAGAUAUCACGCAGAACCCCGAUUGCGAAGGCAGCAUGCCGGCUUCCGACUGACGCUGAAGCACGAAAGCGUGGGGAUCGAACAGGAUUAGAUACCCGAGUAA
rnacentral:rRNA from 1 species